AAGUCGUAACAAGGUCUCCGUAGGUGAACCUGCGGAGGGAUCAUUAACACGUUUAAACAACGUUUAUUAUACCAACCAACCGCGUGAAUUCAACUGAAUCAAUUAUACCCGACUUGAAAGAGAGAGAAACUGUCUAUUUACACGGAGUGAUGAGUGUGUUUGAAUUUUUACAUGUGAAAGCAUGUAUUUUGAAACAUACGGUGUAUCUAGGCUUGUAAUGCUUCGACAUUACGGGAUUAUUUCUCUUUCAAGCUAUCAACAACUCCAAUGUUCCCUUCAUCUCUGGAACGAAAACACCCCUUUCACCCCUUUAUAACUAACUAGACUGAUACAUUCUCAUAGUGUUGUAGGCUUGCCUAUUUCAUUAUCUGAAUACCAUUAAUCAAAUAUCUAAGCACAACUCUUAGCAACGAAUAUCUUGGUUCUC
rnacentral:misc_RNA from 1 species